rnacentral:rRNA from 1 species
UUCCAGCUCCAAUAGCGUAUAUUAAAGUUGUUGCGGUUAAAAAGCUCGUAGUCGAAUCUGUGUCCCGCGCCGCCGGUUCAUCGUCCGCGGUGUUAACUGGCGUGUCGCGGGACGUCCUGCCGGUGGGCUUAGCUCGCAAGGGCGGCCCAACUCAAUCCCGCCGCGGUGCUCUUCACUGAGUGUCGAGGUGGGCCGGCACGUUUACUUUGAACAAAUUAGAGUGCUUAAAGCAGGCUAAAACUUCGCCUGAAUACUGUGUGCAUGGAAUAAUGGAAUAGGACCUCGGUUCUAUUUUGUUGGUUUUCGGAACCCCGAGGUAAUGAUUAAUAGGAACGGAUGG